UACAGAGGGGGCUAGCGUUGUUCGGAAUUACUGGGCGUAAAGGGCACGCAGGCGGCUGCUCAAGUCAGGCGUGAAAGGCCUGGGCUCAACCCGGGAAUUGCGCUUGAGACUGGGCUGGCUUGAGUGCGGGAGAGGAUGGUGGAAUUCCCAGUGUAGAGGUGAAAUUCGUAGAUAUUGGGAAGAACACCGGUGGCGAAGGCGGCCAUCUGGACCGCAACUGACGCUGAGGCGCGAAAGCGUGGGGAGCAAACAGG
rnacentral:rRNA from 1 species